rnacentral:rRNA from 1 species
CAGCCGCCGCGGGAAUACGUAGGGUGCAAGCGUUAAUCGGAAUUACUGGGCGUAAAGCGUGCGCAGGCGGUUCGCUAAGACAGAUGUGAAAUCCCCGGGCUUAACCUGGGAACUGCAUUUGUGACUGGCGGGCUAGAGUAUGGCAGAGGGUGGUAGAAUUCCACGUGUAGCAGUGGAAUGCGUAGAGAUGUGGAGGAAUACCGAUGGCGAAGGCAGCCCCCUGGGCCAAUACUGACGCUCAUGCACGAAAGCGUGGGGAGCAAACAGGAUUAGAUACCCCUGUAGUCCCUGUCUCUUAUAC